AACACCCCCCAAACCCUAGAGACCACUCCAAAAUUCCUCAUCUCCUUCAUCACCUAAACCUAGACGCCUACACCCAAAACUAUUUCUGGCGGCACCGCCUCCAAAUAACCUUAAAUGUUCACCAAAUAAUCCCCACCCUCUCUCUCCAAAUCCCUUAACUUUCCCUGUCAAAUCCCCUCUGUCUUUGUCGAUUUUCAGAUCUUGAAACUAAACCCUAGCCGCCGCUUUCCUCCUUCUUGAUUGCUAGAUGGAUUUCACCCGUUUAUGGUUGAAAUUUACAUCAUUCGAAAGCUCUUGAUGAGAGCUAUCCGUUGAUAUAAGUUUCACGCCGUAUCUCGUAGGUCACAUUUUGAUCAAAGUCGUUGUUGACCGUCCAGUUUCUUUCGGCACUCCUUGUUGUUUGGUUUAAAGAUCAAUAGGUAAUUUAUUUCUUUUCUUCUAUUAAGUAAUUUUUCUCUUCUUCCAGUUUUUCGUCGCUCUUCUCAAAUGUUAAAAAUGAUUCAGACCAAUUAGGAUUCAAGAUUAGUUGAUCUCAUAUUUUGCAUGAUUUGGUUAAUAUUUAAUUAUAUGGUAGUUAAUUUAAUUGCAUGAGUUGUUAGGAUAAUUGAUUUUUGAAUUAGUUUAGAUGUUGGAACAGACUGUUUGUUAAAUUAUUUUUUAGGUUAAUUUGCAUAAUUGUCUGUUUUGUUUGAUCUUUGUAUCCGCUUGAUUUUCCUGUUAUAGUUUGUUUAUAAACAUUAGAAAUUUGAGGAAGUUAAAUGAAAUAGGGAAAUUUAGGAGAAUCAUGUUUAACUGAUUGAGCAUUCUAGAAGUGAUCAUGUGGGAACUAAAUGCAAGGAAGUUAAGUCAAAUUGGGGGUUAAAGAAUAAAACAUAAAAGUAAAAGGGGCUAUAAAAUAGAGAAGAAUAUCUAAAUGGGACAGUUGUCGAAGUCUGUUGAGAAAAGAUGCAUUUUCCUUAUUUUUUAGGGAUGGCACAUGUUAAGUUGAUUAUCUAAUUUUUAAUAUAAAAGGACUCUCCCCCUGCAGAUACACACACUUUUUUCAUUCUGUACUUUAGAGAAUUGACACUCAUACUCACUGAUUUUCACUCGACUCACUAUUUCUGUACCUUUCCAGAUAAUUCACUCAUCUUCACUCUCAUUUUUAGUAAAGAAAUUUCUGGGAUUUCAGCCUUUUAAAUUUCAGAAGAAACAUAAAAAAAAGUAGAUGAAGGUUCUCUCAGUUUGUUUCUUUUGUUCUGCUAUUUGGCUUCACUUUUCUGGGUUCAGGAUUUGGCUUCAGCUUCAUUGCUGUUUUUCAGGUACUAACUUCAAUCUCGAAAUGUAAUUGUUGUCUUAACAUCCUCAUGCUAUAAAAUUUGCUGAAAUUUGUUUGUGUAUAUAUCGUUGAAUACUUUUCUCUGUCAUUGUGCAUCUCACGAUAAGUAGGUUUGGUAUAUAUUGAAUACAUAUGCCUAAAUAUUCAUAAAAUACUGAGCAUGAGAUUUGGUUCUACAGCUUACAUGAAGAACUCAUCGACUGAAUUUGUUGUUAAUUUGAAAAUGAUGUCGUAUGUGGAGUUUGGAUUGACUUACUAUCAGAUCUGUUAGUUAAUAAUUAGCACAUUAGGAUCAUUAAUAUUUGGCUUCGACAUUCGACCAAUACUUGGUUUGAUUCAGAGGCUUCACAGGUGCAAAAGUGGCUAUCUAUGUAAUAGUUAAUUUUAGUCGGAUAUUGUUUUAGAUUAGGAUUUGAAAGGUCUUUUAUAAUAUGGACAAAUUUUAUGAUAACUCAUUUGAAACUGGGCUUGUAAUAAUGUCUGUUUCCAGUGUUGCUUAAAUGCACAAAAAAACUGGUAUGCAAGAAAAUUGAAGUCAAAAGCCCGUAGUAAUUUUGAAUACUAUCUAUAGUUUGAUUCAGUUCAAAAAAUGUAAGUAAAACAACAGUUACAGUCAAUCUGGAUUGUUUUCCGUUCUGAACGAGUCGAUGGUGUAAUUCUAAAAUUGAAUAGUGCGUAUUCGUAUUUUCAGUUAAAUUUUGAAUUGUUUUCAUUCAUUUGUGAUGGUAUACCAAAAUUAUUUGUCAAACCAAAUUUGGACAUUAUUAGGCUUUCGUUCAGAGGCCAUUGGGCCUGAGGUCACAUAGUCCCAUAACAACCAUCUUUUAAAAUGCUCACAAGGGCAGAGC
rnacentral:lncRNA from 1 species